AAAAAAAGGGUAAAUUAGAAUUUGAAGCAGUGCUGGCAGAAGAAACAAAGAGAUUAUUCGUCACAUCGGCACAUGGGAUGGGGUGAUCUUCAUAUCUCAUCCCGUCUUCUUCGUCUCCCACUUUUGUUUCUCUGUCGCUCGAUGGAGAGAUUGCCUGUCGAAGUCUGUCUCAAGAUUCUUAGUUUGUUAGAUCAUCAAAAUCUUGCAACUGCUCAAUUGGUGUGCAGGAAGUGGAAAAUCUUAGCCUCAGACGACACUUUAUGGUCUUACCUGUUUACGCAAAGAUGGGGAGUAGAUCAUGCCACAUUCUUUGCUCCUGACGGUUCAAAAUUGUGGAAAGAUGUGUAUGCAGUGCAAGAUCGAGGUGAUCGUGUUGGAUUGGGCCUAAAGAUCAUAAGAGAAGGAGAUGAUUAUUACCUUGUCCACCAAGGCGAGAUUCAACGGCAUUUAGGCUCUAGAAGACCAAAAACUGGGGAAAUCAUUCAUUCUCCUGCAACUGUUGGGGAAGAAGAAUUUUCUAACAUGGUGGAACCAUCUUCAGGUAUUUUAGAUAAGAUCCUAUUCUUCAUUGGGGACUUGGAGUCUGCUUCUGUACAUGCAAAAAGGAGUCGAGUUCUGUGAAUAAUUCUCAGUUGUGUUUGUGUAUAACAUAUGUUGUAAUACAGAAUAUAAGCGCAAGUUGUAAUACGAAAUUUGCUGCCAAUGCAUACUGGAUCAGUUGGUUAGGACGGACUACUUCCUCUAUAAAGGUCAUGUCCUCAAAUUUCACUGUGGAUAUGAGUAUUGCAUUGGCUUACACACUGCACAUAUUUUAUCUGUGAAAGCAUCCUUUUGAUGGGUCAGUUUUCAAUGGAACGCCAGUUGCAUUGUAUCUUAUUGUCCUCGCGGAACUACCGAAAAAGCAAGGUAUUAUUUUAGGCCACUGCUGUUUUUAUACCUUCUUUCAACGGCACUGUUGCAAAUCACAACUGUAUAUAAUGUAUUCUGUUGAUUCUUUCA